GGUAAAAUGCCUGAUUAAAGGAUUAUUUUGAUAUAAUAAUAAUGUGAUAAAUUCACUUUUACUA
rnacentral:tRNA from 1 species